rnacentral:lncRNA from 1 species
CUCUCGGGCCGCAGUCGACGGAGGGAGGGUCCUGCCCGCUCCGGCCCCUGGCGCCCAGGUGACAGACCCUGGGUCCGACGCACCGCGCGGAGGCGAAGGCAGAAGACCGAGAGCAGGCGGGACGGCUCUCGGCCUAGAAAUUUAAGAUUACAUAUGUGGCUCUCAUUCCACUUUAUUGAAACAGUACUGAUGUAGACCUUGAUUUACACUUUGCAAAGCAGUUUUCCCAUACACCUGCUGCACACCAUACACUUUUCCCAUGCACCUGUUAGGAAUCAUGGACCUGGGCGGUUCAAUAAUAGACUAAAUUCUAGUCUAGCCAAAGCUCUAGGCGACACUGAACCUAGUAAGAGUUUAACACUGUAAUUGGAGUUACUCUGUCCUAGAUCCCGGCUCACACUCACAUAAGGGACCUCCCUCACCCUACCCCCCCGAAUUCUGAACCAGCUCCCCCAGCGGGGGUCCCAGAGCUUUGGACAAUCCCA